CUUUCCACUGAACACUUAUCAAAUUUAAGAAAACUCACCAAAAAAUAAAUUGUUUAGUAAAAGAAUAUUUUUUCACGAGUCAAGAUGUCUGAUAUACCAUUAAAAAACUAGAGUCUGAUAGAGGAAAACCGGUCAUCAUUGUUGAAAAACACAAAUUCCGUCAGGCAUUUGUAAAGAACUAAUGAGUAGAGAAGUAAGCAGAAAGGAAUAUGUGUCUUUUCUCAACUACAAAAACCAGCCUUUAAUUCAAUGAUGAACAGAGACAUUUUAUAUGGUUUUAACUGUAUAUAUAUACGGGUGAACGUUUUAAUUCAGCAUACAUUUCGUUAUUAAAAUGACUUUAACUCCGC
rnacentral:lncRNA from 1 species